GUUAUCCAGGUAAGAAUUUAAGUUCAACUUUAAGCUUACCUAAUAAAUAUAAAAUUUUAAUGUAAACUUAAAUGUUAAUCUGCAGAGGUACAGCUCUGCAGAAUAAGACUACAACCUUAAUUAGCGAGUAACCUUAUUUUAUAACCAUAGUUGGCCUAAAAGCAGCCACCAAUUAAGAAAGCGUUCAAGCUCAACAAUUAAACUAAUAUUUAAUUUAACAAAUAAUACUAACUCCUAAUUCAAAUACUGGAUUAUUCUACCUACCUGUAGAAGUAAUACUGUUAAUAUGAGUAACAAGAUUUUGUAUCUCCAUACACACGUGUAUAUCAGCCCGAAUACUAACUGAUAGUUAACAACUAGACAAACCCAUAUAUUUAAUUAAUAAUUUAUCACCACAUUGUUAAUCCAACACCGGAGUGUAAUACGGAAAGAUUAAAAAAAGUAAAAGGAACUCGGCAAACCUAAACCCCGCCUGUUUACCAAAAACAUCACCUCUAGCAUCACCAGUAUUAGAGGCACUGCCUGCCCAGUGACAUUAGUUUAACGGCCGCGGUAUCCUG
rnacentral:rRNA from 1 species